rnacentral:lncRNA from 1 species
UUGAAGAUAAUCUUUUUGGGGGAAUUUGGUAAGUAUUUCCGAUUCUGAAUCUAGAUUAAAAUUUUGAAUGUAUGCAUGUAUAUCAUUAAUUUUAUGUGUGUUUUAGUACGGAACAGAUACUGACUUGAUUCCUUAAUGAAGAACAAAACCUCGACAUCUUCCCGGAACUGCCUGGAAUGAGUUUGGGACACUUGAUUUUCUUGGUCUUGGUAUCAUUAGACAUUGUUUCAUUUGAUUGUGUG